AGGGGGAAGUUGUGUUUUAGGAGGCCCAUUUGAAGGUUAUAUGGGAAUGAAACCCAUAAAACCUGGAAUACAGGCUUUAUUCAUUAAUGAUCAAAAUAUUAUUUUUUUGUGCACUAAUUACUGUUUGGAAAAGUUAUUCCAAAAUUGCCCUUUGUUCUCCCUGUCAGUAGCCACCACGGUCUCCAUGUAAGCAGCCAUGGGUCUCCAAAAUUGGCCAUGUAAUCAACACUCAAAUUUGAACCGAAAAGAACCCGAUCAGAGGAAACAUGGCAUGAGGCUGCAAGAGAAACACGGGCCGUUAAAGAAGCUAAGGACAAGCUACAAAAGCGGGUGGAGGAAUUUACAUGGAGAUUGCAGUUGGAGAAGCGAUUAAGGGUAGUGUAGAUAUUUUUUCCCUCUUCAUAAAUGUAUGUAUUAUACAUAUAUAGUCCAUCAAUUAGGGUGUUUAGAGUUGUUGUAGAUCAGCUAGUCCCCUAUGUUAACUAAUGGAACUCUAGGAGGGAGGAAGUCCACCACCAAAAUUUUGUUCACAUAUAAUCUGUAAUAUUUUCUUGAUUUUCAAUUUUAAGUUUUAUUAUCCACAAUUGUAUUUUGUGUCCCACCAUCUUUAAAAUGUCUCAGGAUUCAAGUCUUGCCCUUUCUUCUCCAUGGGAACCUCAAUCUGAGGAAAAGCCUUAGAAAUCUCUCAUUGAAAAGCAGCAGGUGGAUAUCCUCUUUCGGUCUUCCUCUUUCUUCAUGCUAAUCAUUUUUUCUGGUGCAGGAAAACCAAGACCUACUAAUCAAGUUUAUUUCACAAGAUCUAGGAUGCUCUGGGAGCAGGCCUAUUGCUGCUUGCCUGAUUUACAAAUCCCUUCUCCAAUGGAGGUCAUUUGAGGUUGAAAGAACCAGUGUAUUUGAUCGUAUCAUUCAGACAAUAGGUGCAGCAAUAGAGGGGCUUCGUGCAUCUCCACAAAGUGCUGGGUUCUCAUUUCUUAAUGGUCGGGUGCUUGGUGGACUGGAUGACUUGAGACAAGUUGAAGCCAAAUAUGCAGCUUUUCUUUUUAAACAGCAACUCACAACCUUCCUUGAGAAUAGAUAUGGAAUGAUAAGAGACAAUUUAAAGAAAUAUUUCCCCAUUGCUUGGAUUGUGUAUUCAGGAAAUUCUUCUUAGCAAUGGUUAAUUUGAAACAAAAUAUGAAUGGUAUGACUACUUCCGUUUAAUAUCAAUAGCAACUCAAAUUUUAGACA